UACGGAGGGUGCAAGCGUUAUCCGGAUUCACUGGGUUUAAAGGGUGCGUAGGUGGGCUUGUAAGUCAGUGGUGAAAUCUCCGGGCUUAACUCGGAAACUGCCAUUGAUACUAUAAGUCUUGAAUACCAUGGAGGUGAGCGGAAUAUGUCAUGUAGCGGUGAAAUGCUUAGAUAUGACAUAGAACACCAAUUGCGAAGGCAGCUCGCUACGCGGUUAUUGGCACUGAGGCACGAAAGCGUGGGGAUCAAACAGG
rnacentral:rRNA from 1 species